AACCUUUCACAAUAGAGAAAAGAUAAAGAAGUGGGAAAAAUAUUAUCCAGGAGUAAUACUGAUCUGCAGGAAGUGUUGGACAAGUUCCAGCGGUCGAAAGAGCCUAGGACUAGAGGAAUGAGGAAAAUGGGAAGUGGUGUUUAUGGCCUGGCUGAGCGUGUCUGGGUGACGUUCGUGUGUGACUCCUCACCAAGGUGCUGUUUUACGAGUGGUGUUUCGUGCCCGCAGGGGUUCUGUCAGCUCUUCCUCACAAUCGCCCUGUGAAAGUGAAGACAGUCGGCCUGGAGGAAGGACCGGGGGAGAAGAUGAAGAGAAGAGAGUCCUCGGUGAGGAGGCUGUCUGGAGUUCGGAGAAGCUCCUGGGAGGAAGCGGAAAGCAAAGAGGCGCUCGAAGCCAAAGCCCAAACUGCCCCCCCUGUUCCUGAGCGUUACAUCGAAGCACUAGAGGUACGCUGUACGGAUCUUGGUGCUUAUAGUGUCACCUUUAAUUGUGGAAACGUUUAGUAAGGUGGAUGGUGGUCCUUUACAAAUGCUUUAUAGGUGUGUUCACUCGUGCAUUUAAUUGCUUCUUGUGGACCCAUACCCAACAGCUACAAGUCACUGUUUUUACUGUGCUCGUGUCUGUGCGCUUAUGAAAUACACAAGACCGCUGUACCCAGAUUACUGUUAAGCUGUUGUGGGAGAGAAAUGCAGGUUUUUUAGAUCAGUUGUACCACAGGAGGGCUUUUCCUUUCUGCCGGUUGAGCUGAACAGCGCUGACAGAAAGGACGACGGUGAGGGGAGGUGAAAUGCUUCCCCCACCUCCCCAAAGAGGAGGGCAAUCCUGUGCGCUGCUGUCUUUCUGUGCUCCCUCAGGAGAUGGAGAAGCUCACUGUGGAGCGGCAUUCACGAAGAGUCCUGACGGCUGCUGCCCCGGGGAAGGAGAAAAAAGCGGAGGCAGAUUGGGCAGAGGGUGAGGCUCAGAGAGCAGAGAAUAAUACACGCAGGACCCAGGUACAGCAGGCAUUUCAAAACAUCCUGGAAAGUAGCCUGCCUUUGCAGGGAAGCUGAAUUUUGAUGCUAUCAGUUACCAGCGGUGCCCAGGAGGUGACUGUUGUCUCUCAGCUUGGCAACUCCUGACCAGGAGAGAAGCUCUCAACCCAAACCAGGGUGGGAAGAGCAGCUCGCUGUGCUGAGGACACACGCUGAUCAUCCCGGCCUCGAGCCUCCUUGGCCCAAAGGGAUGGCUCUUAGCUAGGAACACAAAUUCUGCCCCAGAGAUGGCUUCAGCCAGUUGUGCCCAGCCAUCCUGUACGGGGAGAGCUCCAGGUCACGGUCACUAGAUCUAGAAUAGCUUGAUGAGAAAUACUGCUGUGAAGACUGCCAUGUUUUUGUAAAUUCAUUUACAUAAUUAAGAAUCAGGACUUGAUCCCCAAGCCCCUGACAUGAAAAUAAAAGUUUCUUUUGGCUUCA
rnacentral:lncRNA from 1 species